rnacentral:rRNA from 1 species
UACGGAGGGGGCAAGCGUUGUUCGGAUUUACUGGGUGUAAAGGGUUCGUAGGCGGCAUUGUAAGUGGGAUGUGAAAUCUCUGAGCUUAACUCAGAAACUGCAUUCCAUACUGCUAAGCUAGAGUACCGCAGAGGUGAAUGGAAUUCUCGGUGUAAGGGUGAAAUCUGCAGAUAUCGAGAAGAACGCCAGUGGUGAAGACGAUUCACUGGGCGGAUACUGACGCUGAGGAACGAAAGCUAGGGGAGCGAACGGGAUUAGAUACCCCGGUAGUCCUAGCCGUAAACGAUGGACACUAGGUGUUGGAAGGGUCAAACCUUUCAGUGCCGCAGCUAACGCAUUAAGUGUCCCACCUGGGGAGUACGGUCGCAAGACUGAA